GGCCCCCAGCCCUACUGCGUCUGCCUCGGCCUCCAACAAUGCCUACACCGUUGCUGCCUGCCUACAGCCCACCGCCAUGUGCAGCGAUGUCAGCCCCCCGUCGGCCCUCUCCACUGGCCUCAUGUCUGCUCUGACCGCCAUCCAGAUGGCCCUCUUCCCCUUUCCCCUACCCUCCACCACACUUUCGAUUUCCACCCACUCAUAUACCGCCCCCUCCAGCUCUACCGCC
rnacentral:lncRNA from 1 species